rnacentral:tRNA from 1 species
GCCUGGGUGGCUCAGUCGGUCGAGCGUCCGACUUCAGCUCAGGUCAUGAUCUCACGGUUCGCAAGUUCGAGCCCUGCAUCAGGCU